UAAUACAGGUAACUCCAUACCUGC
rnacentral:siRNA from 1 species